rnacentral:rRNA from 1 species
CCUACGGGGGGCAGCAGUGGGGAAUAUUGCACAAUGGGCGCAAGCCUGAUGCAGCCAUGCCGCGUGUGUGAAGAAGGCCUUCGGGUUGUAAAGCACUUUCAGCGGGGAGGAAGGCGGUGAGGUUAAUAACCUCAUCGAUUGACGUUACCCGCAGAAGAAGCACCGGCUAACUCCGUGCCAGCAGCCGCGGUAAUACGGAGGGUGCAAGCGUUAAUCGGAAUUACUGGGCGUAAAGCGCACGCAGGCGGUCUGUCAAGUCGGAUGUGAAAUCCCCGGGCUCAACCUGGGAACUGCAUUCGAAACUGGCAGGCUAGAGUCUUGGAGAGGGGGGUAGAAUUCCAGGGGUAGCGGUGAAAUGCGUAGAGAUCUGGAGGAAUACCGGUGGCGAAGGCGGCCCCCUGGACAAAGACUGACGCUCAGGUGCGAAAGCGUGGGGAGCAAACAGGAUUAGAUACCCCAGUAGUC